rnacentral:rRNA from 1 species
GAUCAUGGCUCAGGAUGAACGCUAGCUACAGGCUUAACACAUGCAAGUCGAGGGGAAACGACAUCGAAAGCUUGCUUUUGAUGGGCGUCGACCGGCGCACGGGUGAGUAACGCGUAUCCAACCUGCCCAUCACUUGGGAAUAACCUUGCGAAAGUAAGACUAAUGCCCAAUGACAUCCCACGAAGGCAUCCGAAUGGGAUUAAAGAUUUAAUCGGUUGAUGGAUGGGGAUGCGU